rnacentral:rRNA from 1 species
UACAGAGGGUGCGAGCGUUAAUCGGAAUUACUGGGCGUAAAGCGCACGUAGUCGGCUUUGCAAGUCGGGUGUGAAAUCCCAGGGCUCAACCCUGGAACUGCCUUUGAUACUGUCGAUCUGGAGUAUGGAAGAGGUAAGUGGAACUCCUAGUGUAGAGGUGGAAUUCGUAGAUAUUAGGAAGAACACCAGUGGCGAAGGCGGCUUACUGGUCCGGUACUGACGCUGAGGUGCGAAAGCGUGGGGAGCAAACAGG